GAUGAACGCUGGCGGCGUGCUUAAUACAUGCAAGUCGAACGGAGUAUGUAGCAAUACGUACUUAGUGGCGAACGGGUGAGUAACGCGUUGGUGACCUGCCUCGAAGAGAGGGAUAACAGUUCGAAAGGAUUGCUAAUACCUCAUGUGAUCAUAGGGUUUAGAAGCCUAUGAUUAAAGGAGUAAUUCACUUCGAGAGGGACCUGCGUACCAUCAGCUAGUUGGUGAGGUAACGGCCCACCAAGGCGAUGACGGUUAGGGGACCUGAGAGGGUGGCCCCCCACAAUGGAACUUGAAACACGGUCCAUACACCUACGGGUGGCAGCAGUAGGGAAUAUUAGUUAAUGUGCGAAAGCGCGAACUAGCAACGCCGCGUGUGCGGAUGAAGGCCUUCGGGUUGUAAAGCACUUUUCCAAGGGACGAGGAAGGACGGUACCUUGGGAAUAAGCAUCGGCUAACUACGUGCCAGCAGCCGCGGUAAAACGUAGGAUGCAAGCGUUUAUCCCGGAAAUUCCUGGGCGUAAAGGGGCGUGUAGGCGGACCUGUAAGUCUAUUCUGAAAGCUCCUGCCUCUCUGGGAGAGGCGAAUGGAGACUGCAGAUCUAGAGUGAGGAAGAGGAAAGUGGAAUUCCGCGUGUAGUGGUGAAAUGCGUAGAGAUGCGGAGGAACACCAGUGGCGAAAGCGACUUUCUGGUCCUUAACUGACGCUGAGGCGCGAAAGCAUGGGGAGCGAACGGGAUUAGAAACCCCGGUAGUCCAUGCCAUAAACGAUGUUCACUAAGCGUCGGCGGGUUUAAAUCCGUCGGUGUUGAAGCCAACGCAGUAAGUGAACCGCCUGGGGAGUACGGUCGCAAGGCUAAAACUCAAAGGAAUUGACGGGGGACCGCACAAGCAGCGGAGCGUGUGGUUUAAUUCGAGGCUACACGAAGAACCUUACCUGGGUUUGACAUCGUGUUGAAGUGCC
rnacentral:rRNA from 1 species